rnacentral:rRNA from 1 species
UCCGGUUGAUCCUGCCGGAGGUUACUGCUAUCGAGGUUCGACUAAGCCAUGCGAGUCGAAUGUAGCAAUACAUGGCGUACUGCUCAGUAACACGUGGAUAGCCUACCCUUGAGAUGGGGAUAAACCCGGGAAACUGGGUAUAAUACCCAAUAGAUCUCGACUGCUGGAAUGCAUCGAGCUCCAAAGCUCCGGCGCUCAAGGAUGGGUCUGCGGCCUAUCAGGUAGUAGUGGGUGUAGUGUACCUACUAGCCUACGACGGGUACGGGUUGUGAGAGCAAGAGCCCGGAGAUGGAUUCUGAGACACGAAUCCAGGCCCUACGGGGUGCAGCAGGCGCGAAAACUUUACAAUGCUGGAAACAGCGAUAAGGGGACCUCGAGUGCCAGGUUACAAAUCUGGCUGUCGUGAUGCCUAAAAAGCAUUGCAUAGCAAGGGCCGGGCAAGACCGGUGCCAGCCGCCGCGGUAACACCGGCGGCUCGAGUGGUAACCGUUAUUAUUGGGUCUAAAGGGUCUGUAGCCGGCCGGAUAAGUCUCUUGGGAAAUCUGGCAGCUUAACUGUCAGGCUUUCAGGAGAUACUGUCUGGCUCGAGGCCGGGAGAGGUGAGAGGUACUUCAGGGGUAGGGGUGAAAUCUUGUAAUCCUUGAAGGACCACCAGUGGCGAAGGCGUCUCACCAGAACGGACCUGACGGCAAGGGACGAAAGCUAGGGGCACGAACCGGAUUAGAUACCCGGGUAGUCCUAGCCGUAAACGAUACUCGCUAGGUGUCGGCAACGGUGCGACCGUUGUCGGUGCCGUAGGGAAGCCGUGAAGCGAGCCACCUGGGAGUACGGCCGCAAGGCUGAAACUAAAGGAAUGGCGGGGAGCACCNCAACGGUGGAGCUUGCGUUAAUUGGAUCAACGCCGG